AUUGUACUUUUUUCGUUCGGAAAUACUUAUCCUAAAAAUAGUUGUAUCUGAACUUAUUUUAGUUAUAGAUACAUCUAUUUUAUCCAUUUCUGGGACAAGUAUUUUCGGACGGAGGGAGUAACUC
rnacentral:pre_miRNA from 1 species